rnacentral:rRNA from 1 species
GACGAACGCUGGCGGCGUGCUUAACACAUGCAAGUCGAACGGAAAGGCCCUGCUUUUGUCUGGUGCUCGAGUGGCGAACGGGUGAGUAACACAUGAGUAACCAGCCCUUGACUUUGGGAUAACUUCUGGAAACUGCGGCUAAUACCGCAUCGGAGCUCCUGCUGCAUGGUGGGGGUUGGAAAGUUUCGGCGGUUGGUGAUGGACUCGCGGCUUAUCAGCUUGUUGGUGGGGUAGUGGCUUACCAAGGCUUUGACGGGUAGCCGGCCUGAGAGGGUGACCGGCCACAUUGGGACUGAGAUACGGCCCAGACUGCAACGGUAGGCAGCGGUGGGGAAUAUGACACAAUGGGCGGAAGCCUAAUGCAGCAACGCCGCGUGCGGGAUGACGGCCUUCGGGUUGUAAACCGAUUUCGCCUGAGACGAAGCGUGAGUGACGGUAAUGGGUAAAGAAGCACCGGCUAACUACGUG